rnacentral:rRNA from 1 species
CGCAUCUGUGCAUGCAGCAUAUCAAUAAGCGGAGGAAAAGAAACUAACAAGGAUUCCCCUAGUAACGGCGAGUGAAGCGGGAAGAGCUCAAAUUUGAAAUCUUAAAGGGUUUCCCUUUACGAAUUGUAGUUUAAAGAAGUGUUUUCUGUUGAGGUUUUGGUAAGAGUUCUUUGGAAUAGGACAUCAUAGAGGGUGAGAAUCCCGUAUUUGACCUUUACUUUCAACUUUGUGAUACACUUUCAAAGAGUCGGAUUGUUUGGGAAUGCAGUCCAAAAUGGGUGGUAAAUUUCAUCUAAAGCUAAAUACUGGCGAGAGACCGAUAGCGAACAAGUACCGUGAGGGAAAGAUGAAAAGAACUUUGAAAAGAGAGUUAAACAGUACGUGAAAUUGUCAAAAGAGAAGCGUUUGACACCAGUGUUGUUUUUCUGAAAAUCAAUUAAAGAACUGUUUAUGCUAAGCUGUUUAGACUUUAUCAGCUAACUGUUUAGUUUUGAGCUUUUCUUUAAUGCACUUUUCAGUUAACAAGUCAACAUCAAUUUCUUUUGCUGUAAAAAAGCUUGAGGAAGGUGGCUUGAGAUUCGUCUUAAGUGUUUAUAGCCUCUUGCCUAUGCAGUCGGAGAGAUUGAGGUCUGCAGCGUAGAUCCUUCGGGGCUAAAUGCAUUUGUGCUAAGUUAUAGCAUUUUAUAGACAACUUGUUGACUAUGAUUUGUCUUGUAGCUUACUCGCUUAUGUUAUUUUACCUACGCUUAGGAUGUUGAGUCAUCACACAUCUCU